AGAAUGGCUCAGAGACUGGCUUACCUUACUCAAUGAGCCGUUAAGUUUGGAAGUCCCAAGUCCCUUCCCAGGGAUGACGCCCACUUUGUUGUUGGCACCAUCAGCGGGCGUUUUAAGACUCCUCCCUGUCAUCUUCUCUGUCUGCACCUGAACUUUUUGACGAUUGUUCGUUGUCAGGAUUCACAGCAUUCUUGUUAAUGCGCUUGCAACAACAGCAACAAAGUUUCUUGAUUUUUUCGAAUGCGAGCUUGAUCUUCGACAGUUCCUGGUUUGACUCCGUGUGUUUCUUGAUGGAGUCCGUGGCGAAGGCAUUGAGCAGCAAAGCCAGAAAGAGGUUCAGCACCUGUACUAAGAAGGAAAGAUCUUUCUGUCGGUAUAUGAAUGCCACACAUUUGUUGCUCUGUCCGUGAAAGAAACUCGAGAGAAGAAUAAUGCGUGAUUAACAGCCUGUACAACUUCCACGUCCUCUAAUGAAGUCAUCACUCUUUACCUCACUCCUUCCGUGUCGCUGAAGUCGAAGUUGCCGUAGUCCUCUCUGAAGAGCUGCAGGCCGAUGACCGCAAAGAUGUAGAUGACGAUGCCGAGGAUGCCUGUGAGGUUGGCCAGGGCUCCAAGCGUGCUGAUGAUGAUGACUGGAACUCAUGCCAUGGUACUGGAGGGCCAGGAAGACAGUGUUGAGGAUGAUGCAAAGGGUGAUGCCCAGGUCGAAGAACGGGUCUGAGAUGAGCGCGUGCACGCGGUUUUGCAGGCGCACCCACGGCACAAAGCACGCGCAGUACUUGCUGCACGCCCCGCAGUUCCUGUCCACUAGCCGUCCGUUCUGGUUGGCAAGGUCUCCUUUCAGGUAUUCAUCACUAGCAGCACUCGGUGUCCCCUCCUUUUCUAAAAUCACACCUGACGACGACACCUGUCCAGGAGCAGUUGCGAUUAUGACAGUUGUAUAUUUUUUCAAUAUUUACAAUGCUUGCGAUAGCC